GCGAGAAGUGACACAGUGAGAUUGCCACACUCCAGGAGCAGCUGAUGACCUCAGAAGCCACUGUCCACAGCCUGCAGGCCACCGUGCACCAGAGGGACGAGCUCAUUAGGCAGUUGCAGCCCCGGGCUGAGCUGCUGCAGGACAUCUGCCGCCGCCGGCCACCCCUGGCUGGGCUGCUGGAUGCCCUGGCUGAGGCUGAGCGCCUGGGGCCCCUGCCGGCCAGUGACCCCGGCCACCCACCCCCCGGUGGGCCUGGUCCACCCCUUGACAACAGCACUGGGGAAGAGGCGGACAGGGACCACCUCCAGCCUGCAGUGUUUGGGACCACAGUGUGAGCCCGGAAUGCAGAUUACAGAAUGGAGACAGAAAGCCACUGCUGUCAGUGUCCUUGGGAGUCACCAGCACCCUGCAGGGGGACCCUACGGCAGAGCCAAAGUCCUGUCUAAGCAUCAGAACAGGCUGAACAGUCAAAAAGUUUUCAAAUAGGCCCACAGGCCAGGUGCAGACGUUUAACCCAGACAGAAGUGUUCUUGUUUGUUUUUAAGCUUUGAAUCAGUCACCCUUGCUAAAAACCUGGCAAUGCAAACACAAAGAUCUGGAUUUCUGGCAAGACUUGGCCAAGCUUGCCUGGAGUUCAGGGCACCCUCUUUAGCCAGGGUGUGAGUUUCUGUUUUUUGUUUUUUUUUUUUUAAGACAGAGUCCCACUCUGUCGCCCUGGCUGGGGUGCAGUGGUGCGAUUUUGGCUAACUGCAACCUCCGCCUCCCAGGUUCAAGCGAUUCUCCUGUCUCAUCCUUCAGAGUAGCUGGGAUUACAGGCGCCCACCACCACACCCGGAUAUUUUAUAUUUUUGGUAGAGACCGGGGAGGGGAGGGGGUUUCACCAUGUUGACCAGGCUGGUCUCAAACUCCUGACCUUAGGUGAUCCACCCGCCUCGGCCUUCGAAAGUGCUGCAGUUAUAGGUGUAAGCCACCGCGCCCGGCCCUAGCCUAGCUUUUGUAGCAUGCAACUGUCUCCUUUUUAUACGCCCUAAAGAAUAUAUUUUUGAACUCCUUGUUUCUGCGCUGUCCUUCUUAGCCCAGGACAUUCAGGGUGCUUUGCUUGUUGUCAAACCAGGGAAAGGAGAAAACUCCUGUGCCUUUCUGGGCCAGCCUGUCACCCUGGCCUGGUCGGCAGCCAUUCCCCUACCUCCUCACUCAGGAACUGUCACACCAGGAACCGGCGAGGGGCACAGCCUGUUUCAGACCAGAAAGGUCGGAGGCCACCCACGGCCUUCAGGAUGGCGCCCGCCUGCCUGCCUGGCAACAGUGACCCCUCAGUGCAGUAACAAUGGGCCCAUUUUCUCCUCUGGAUGAACAAGGAGGGGGGUUGUUUGUACAAAGGAAAGGCAGGCUGGGGCCUGUCUGUGCUCAAGAAUAAACCGGAUGAUUUCCUGGCCUGGGGGCAAGAGGGAGGCCCUCUGUGUUAUUUGUGCCUCCUGGUAGGGUCCUGCUGGGCCAGGUAGAAUCUAGGGAGUGUAGGCCAAGCACUCUCUACAGCGAUUGCAUCUAAUCUUCGAGUUUCCCUGUAGACACAGGCUUUGUCCUCAUUUUACAGCUGUGGAAAGUGAGGCCCAGGCCGGGCGCGGUGUCUCACGCCUGUAAUCCCAGCACUUUGGGAUGCGGGUGGAUCACCUGAGGUCAGGAGUUCGAGACCACCCUGGCCAACAUGGUGAAACCCCGUCUCUACUAAAAAUACUAAAAUUAGCCGGGCUUGGUGGCGGGUGCCUGUAAUCCCAGCUACUGAACCCGGGAGGCGGAGGUUGCAGUGAGUGGAGAUUGCACCACUGCACUCCAGCCUGGGAGACAGAGUGAGACUCAGUCUCAAAGAAAACAACAACAACAACAACAACAACAACAACAACAACAAACAGAGGCCCAGAGGUGUGAAGGGAACACACUCCGGGUCUGGAGGGCCAGGGCCACUUCCAAUUCUGGGGGAAGUUAUUGCUGAAAUUCUGUUUUCUUUCUUUCUUUCUUUUUUUUUUAAAGAGACAAAGUCUCACUGUUGCCCAGGCUGGAGUGCAAUGGUGUGAUCACAACUCACUGCAGCCUCAAAAUCCUGGUCUUGGCUGGGCCAGUGGCUCACACCUAUAAUCUCAGCACUUUGGGAGGCCAAGGCAGGUGGAUCACCUGAGGCCAGGAGUUCAAGACCAGCCUGACCAACAUGGUGAAACUCCGUCUCUACUAAAAACACAAAAAUUAACCGGGUGUGGUGGCGCGUGCCUGUAAUCCCAGAUACUCGGGAGGUUGAGGCAGGAGAAUCACUUGAACCCGGGAGAUGGAGGCUGUAGUGAGCCGAGAUUGUACCACUGCACUCCAGCUUGGGCGACAGAGGGAGACUCCGUCUCAAAAAAAAAUCCUGGGAUCAAGCUAUCAUGCUACCUCAGCCUGCCAAGUAGCUGGGACCAUGGGCAUAUGCCACCAUGCCUGGCUGCGUUUUUGCAUUUUUUCUAGAGAUAAGGUCUCAUUACAUUGCCCAGGCUGGUCUUGAACUCCUGGCCUCAAGUGAUCCUCCCGCAUUGGCCUCCCAAGAAAUUCUUACUAAACAUUUACAAAUGAGAUGCCAAAACAGCACUUCAGUAAUAGUGGUUAUAUUUUAUAGUUCUCUACACAGAAAAAAAAAUGCUGCUUGUAACACUCAUAGACAUGAAAGUAUUUCUCUGCCUAUUUAAAUAAUUCUGGAUUGCAGUGAGCCACCAGGAUUUUGGCAGCCAGAUGUCACCAUGAUU
rnacentral:lncRNA from 1 species